rnacentral:rRNA from 1 species
AGCGAACGCUGGCGGCAGGCCUAACACAUGCAAGUCGAACGGAUCCUUCGGGAUUAGUGGCGGACGGGUGAGUAACACGUGGGAACGUGCCCUUUGGUUCGGAACAACUCAGGGAAACUUGAGCUAAUACCGGAUGUGCCCUUCGGGGGAAAGAUUUAUCGCCAUUGGAGCGGCCCGCGUCUGAUUAGCUAGUUGGUGGGGUAAAGGCCCACCAAGGCGACGAUCAGUAGCUGGUCUGAGAGGAUGAUCAGCCACAUUGGGACUGAGACACGGCCCAAACUCCUACGGGAGGCAGCAGUGGGGAAUCUUGCGCAAUGGGCGAAAGCCUGACGCAGCCAUGCCGCGUGAAUGAUGAAGGUCUUAGGAUUGUAAAGCUCUUUCGCACGCGACGAUGAUGACGGUAGCGUGAGAAGAAGCCCCGGCUAACUUCGUGCCAGCCGCCGCCGUAA